AGCAGCCGCGGUAAUUCCAGCUCCAAUAGCGUAUAUUAAAGUUGUUGCAGUUAAAAGCUCGUAGUUGAAUUUCGAGAUCAAAUUGUUGGUCGUGCCUCGGUACGCACUGGCAUUAUUGAUUUCUCCCUUCUGACGAUCCGCGAUGUCAUUAAUUUGGUGUCGCGGGGAAUCAGGACUGUUACUUUGAAAAAUUGAGUGUUUAAAGCAGGCUCACGCUUGAAUACAUUAGCAUGGAAUAAUGAAAUAGGACGUUUGAUUCUAUUUUGUUGGUUUCUAGGAUCGACGUAAUGAUUAAUAGGGAUAGUUGGGGGCAUUAGUAUUCAAUUGUCAGAGGUGAAAUUCUUGGAUUUAUUGAAGACUAACUACUGCGAA
rnacentral:rRNA from 1 species